GCAGCGGCGCAGGACGGCGCAGGCGGGGCUCAGGGGGUCCCGCAGGCGCUGGGGGGCCAGGGCCCCCCGCAGGGGCGCGGCGGCCGAGGGGUCCCCCAAAUCCAGCACCACCCCCGGACAGUCCAGGAGCCGAAUGUGCCGGUCCAGCUGCACGGCCUGCAGGCACCUGGGGGCGGGGUCUGAGUGCCACGCCCAAUUCUGGGCGGGGUCAGGGCCAUGCCCACACCUGGGCGGGGUCAGUGCCACACCUGGGCGGGGUCAGUGCCACACCUGGGCGGGGUCAGUGCCACACCCACACCUGGGCGGGGUCAGUGCCACACCCACACCUGGGUGGGGUCAGUGCCACACCUGGAUGGGAUCAGUGGCACACCUGGGUGGGGUCAAUGCCACACCCACACCUGGGCGAGGUCAGUGCCACACCCACACCUGGGUGGGAUCAGUGGCACACCAAAUUCUAGGUGGGGUCAGUGCCACGCCCAAUUCUGGGUGGGGUCAGUGCCAUGCUCACACCUGGGCGGGGUCAGUGCCACACCCAAUUCUGGGCGGGGUCAGUGCCACACCCACACCUGGGCGGGGUCAGUGCCACGCCCAAUUCUGGGUGGGAUCAGUGCCACACCAAAUUCUAGGUGGGGUCAGUGCCAUGCUCACACCUGGGUGGGAUCAGUGGCACACCCACACCUGGGUGGGGUCAGUGCCACACCUGGGUGGGAUCAGUGGCACACCCACACCUGGGUGGGGUCAGUGCCACACCUGGGCAGGGUCAGUGCCACACCUGGGCGGGGUCAGUGCCACACCUGGGCGGGGUCAGUGCCACGCCCAAUUCUGGGUGGGGUCAGUGCCACACCCACACCUGGGUGGGGUCAGUGCCACACCUGGGUGGGGUCAGUGCCAUGCCCACACCUGGGUGGGAUCAGUGCCACACCUGGGUGGGGUCAGUGCCACGCCCACACCUGGGUGGGGUCAGUGGCACACCUGGGUGGGAUCAGUGCCACGCCCACACCUGGGUGGGGUCCGUGCCACGCCCACACCUGGGCAGGGUCAACCCAGGCUCCACCCACAGCCCCCCCGCCCCGUGCAGGUGACCCCACCCCCCAGGUGGGCUCACCUGGUGACCCCGGGCACGGCCCCCACCCCGCAGGCGCGGCUGCGCUUGAGGCUGUUGAUGAGG
rnacentral:lncRNA from 1 species